AUGAAAUUCAAAGUUCAAAGUAAAUUUAUUGUCAAAGUACAUAUAUGUCACCAAAUACACCCCUGAGCUUUAUUUUCUUGUGGGAAUCCACAGUGAGCUCAAAGAAACACAAUAGAAUCAAUGAAAAACCUCACACAAGGAUAAUCAAUGUGCAAAAUACAACAGACUGUGCAAAUACAAGAAGAAAAUUUUAAAAUAAUAAUAAAUAAAUGAGCAAUAAAUAUCAAGAACAUGAAAUGAGGAGUCCUUGAAAGUAAGUCCAUAGGCUGUGGGAAUGGUUCAGUGAUGGGGCAAUUGAAGCUGAGGAAAAGUUAUCCCCUCUCAUUCACGAGCCUGAUGGUUGGGGGGUAAUAACUGUUCCUGAACCUGGUAGUGUGGGUCCUGAAGCUCCUGUACCUCCUUCCUGAUGGCAGCAACGCGAAGAGAAGAUGGCCUGGAUGCUGAGGUCGUUAAUGAUGAAUGCUGCUUUCCUGUGACAGUGCUCCUUGUAGAAGUACUUAACGAUGGGCAGUGCUGAACCAGUGAUGAAUUGUGCAGUACCCACUGCUUUUUGUAGGCUUCUCCACUCAAGGGCAAUGGUGCUUCCAUACCAGACCUUGAUGUAACUAAUCAGUAUACAGUAUACUGCAUAUACAGUAGAUGUGACAAGAUUAUGGUGAGUUGGGAUUUGCAAAGUGUAAAGGCUUUUCCAAGUACAGUUCCUAAGCAAUAUUAGGAUUAAGAAAAUUAAUUUCAUCACCUAAAACUCUUUUUUAGCUGAUUCCAGCCCAUUUUACCCACUCCUUGCAAAUUAGGGCAAAGGGAGGAAGAUUUACUCCGGUUGUUUUCUGGAAACAUCAUGUAGACUGAAAGAUUUCUGAAUGAUAUUUCCAUUAAAGACAUAAAUGCAUUGUACUGGCCAAUGGUGUAGUGGCAUCAGCAUCAGACUUUGAGGUAAAUGGUCCCUAGUUUGGAUCCAUCUGGCUCCUUCUGUAAAAACUUGGGCACGUAAAAACCAUUCAAAUGCUGCGGAAUAAGACCAGCAGAGCAGCAAUGGCUGGAGAUUCUGCGAAAAUGAGUGCUUGUCAAGACUUGGACACAGCAAUGCUUCACUGCCUGCUUGCAUUCCGCCUUGCCUGAGAAAUUGGACUGCCGAGUCAACUAACUCUGAAGACUGGCUUCUUUUCCCUCUAACACUGUUCACAUUAAUGUCUGUGAACUAUUGACCUGCUUCAAUGUCUCUCACUCCAUAUUCAAACUGGGUGACAGCAAGUCUCGACCACACAAAGAUGGGCCCAGCAGAGAGAGCAGCUGACCUUGGCCAUGAGAUUCACUGGUCAGAGUGACUCAUCGAGGCACCAACAUUUUGUUGGAAUUCCUAUGUAUAAACUCUUGUUUCUGUUUCCAUCAUGACAGAAGGAUCUUGCCAAGUAAUGGACCCAGCAAAGUUGGAACAGGGACGUUUUGACACUGGUGGCUUGAGGAGAGUCCCGAGUCUACAUACUAAGCUUCUCUAAUCUACUUUGUACAACGAGUUUUUCCUGUAUCCAUUCCAAGCAUUUCAAGUCACAAGUACUCAAAUUCUCAGCUUUGUGGUCCUGUUACUCAAGUCUGCAUAACAAAAUGAGUGCUUCAAGCAAGCUUAUCAAUGGAUUCAACAAAUUAUCAUUCAAUUCAAUAGUGCAAAUUCUGGAAGAGCCUUACUCCAAAAGCUGAUCCCUUGCUGGAGUGUCCAAAUACACAAAUAACCCUAUCAAGAGUAUUUUUAACUUCUUGAUGGAAGUUAUUAUACAGAGUGGGAAAAUUGAACUUUCUUGUAGCACAUUAAACAGAUCUACAGAGAACCAGCUAGCUUAGCAAUGAAAGAAACCUGUCUAUGCUGUCUUGAUCUGUAAAAUUGAGAGAACAUCCUAAUUGCCUCUGGAAAGAAUUGUGAAAGAUAAAACACUGUGAGCAAGAUUUGAAAAGGUUCCUUCUCUAGGUUUUAAGUUUUACGUUUUCAAGGUUUACCAAGGUCUUUUCUCUAUGUUCCCAAGGUUUUUAUUUUUCCGAUUGUUUCCAAGGCUUAUUCAAUGUGUCUAGGGUUUUUUAAUGUUCUCCCCUUCUUGGACUCCCAAGCCUCCCUCUCGGCCCCGCCCAAGGUUUCUUGAUCUCACUCGGGAUCCCCAGGUCUCCCUCCCUCUCAAGCUCCCCAGGCCCCCGAGUCUUCAGGUGUUCCAGAGCCAUCAGGUACCAGCUGUAGGGAGGGAGUCCUGUAGUGACUAUUUCAGGCCUGUGCAGGGCAUCAGAAAGCAUCGGGCUCUGAGGUUUUUAGAGCACCUGAACUGGUUAAUUGUUGCUUAACAACAGUUAUUUAUGGUUUAAGAGUUCCUUGUGUUUUUCUCGAGCGACUUGCUCUUUGUAAUGCGGUUUCCUGGUGCUUUCUGUUUAAUUUUGAUAGGCUCAGGGAUUCUGUUAGCUUAAUUGUUGAAGCAGAUGCCUGAUUAGCUCCAAUCUGAGGGUCCUCAUUUUGAGAAUGAUUUGUCCCAUGGUGUCACUUGGUCGAGCUAUCUCUGUAUAAGCUCUUGCUUCUGUCUCUACAUGGAAGUCUUUGACUCCGAUAUUGGCAGUGCACACCAUGGCAUUUGUCUACCACCAUCACAUCUUAGACAAGUCCCUCAUCCGGGACCAGCGGACACAGGUCUGUGGCACCUCAGGGGCUGCACCUAGAGAGGUGGGGGGGGGCCCUGUAACAACCACAAAUUCAGCAGUGCAGUAGAUAACAUAGAAAUAUAGAAAAUAGGUGCAGGAGUAGGCUAUUCGGCCCUCCUAGCCUGCACCGCCAUCCAGUAUGAUAAUGGCUGAUCAACCAACUCAGAACCCUGUACCUGCAUUCUCUCCAUACCCCCUGAUCCCUUUAGCCACAAGAGCCAUAUCUAAUUUCCUCUUAAAUAUAGCCAAUGAACCAGCCUCAACUGUUUCCUGUGGCAGAGAAUUCCACAGAUUCACCACUCUCUGUGUGAAGAAGUUUUUCCUCAUCUCGGUCCUAAACGGCUUCCCCUUUAUCCUUAAACUGUGACCCCUUGUUCUGGACUUACCCCAACAUUGGAAACAAUCUUCCUGCAUCUAGCCUGUCCAAUCCCUUUAGAAUUUUAUACGUUUCAAAAAGGUCCCCCCUCAAUCUUCUAAAUUCCAGCAAGUAUAAGCCUAGUCAAUCCAGUUUUUCUUCAUAUGAAAGUCCUGCCAUCCCAGGAAUCAAUCUGGUGAGACUUCUUUGAACUCCCUCUAUGGAAAGAAUGUCUUUCCUCAGAUUAGGGGACUAAAAUUGCACACAAUAUUUUAGGUGCGGUGUCACAAAGGCCUUGUACAACUGCAGUAGAACCUCCCUGCUCCUGUACUCAAAUCCUCUUGCUAUGAAUGCCAACAUACCAUUUGCCUUUUUUACCGCCUGCUGUACCUGCGUGCCCACUUUCAAUGACUGGUGUACAAUGACACCCAGGUCUCUUUGCACCUCCCCUUUUCCUAAUCGGCCACCAUUCAGAUAAUAAUCUGUUUCCUGUUCUUGCAACCAAAGUGGAUAACCUCACGUUUAUCCACAUUAAAUUGCAGCUGCCAUGAAUUUGCCCACUCACCUAACCUAUCCAAGUCACCCUGGAUACGGCAAUUGCACUUGUGAAUAUGCACAUGUCAGCUAAUUAUUAUUUCAUUGUUUUAGUAUUUAACUCCAUACUUGGCGUCGUAGUGCUUGUCAAGACUUGGACACAGUAAUAAUUCACUGCCUGCUUGCAUUCCGCCUUGCCUGAGAAAUUGGACUGUCGAGUCAACUUACUCUGAAGACUGGCCGUAUUUGUUUUAUUCUUAGUUGUUCUUUUUAGUCGCGUUGUAGCUACGUUUUCCAUUUGAGAGUUUUAGUCAAAGGCCCUGUUUGGCCCAGCGUUUAUUGUUUUCUUUUCCCUUUAACACUGUCCGCAUUAAAGUCUGUGAACUAUC